GAGUUUGAUCUUGGCUCAGAUUGAACGCUGGCGGCAUGCCUUACACAUGCAAGUCGAACGGCAGCACGGGAGCUUGCUCCUGGUGGCGAGUGGCGAACGGGUGAGUAAUGCAUCGGAACGUAUCCUGGAGUGGGGGAUAACGUAGCGAAAGUUACGCUAAUACCGCAUAUUCUGUGAGCAGGAAAGCGGGGGACCUUCGGGCCUCGCGCUCUUGGAGCGGCCGAUGUCGGAUUAGCUAGUUGGUGAGGUAAAGGCUCACCAAGGCGACGAUCCGUAGCAGGUCUGAGAGGAUGAUCUGCCACACUGGAACUGAGACACGGUCCAGACUCCUACGGGAGGCAGCAGUGGGGAAUUUGGACAAUGGGGGCAACCCUGAUCCAGCCAUGCCGCGUGAGUGAAGAAGGCCUCGGUUG
rnacentral:rRNA from 1 species